rnacentral:tRNA from 1 species
AAUAAGAUGCCUGAUGAAAGGAUUAUUUUGAUAGAAUAAAUUAAGUAAGUGUAUUUACUCUUAUUA